AGCUCUGAGAACUGAAUUCCAUGGGUUGUGUUAAUGUCAGACCUGUGAAGUUCAGUUCUUCAGCU
rnacentral:miRNA from 1 species